UACAUGUAACGUCAAAGAACAAGAGAUGUAGUGCACGCGUUGGUAUAUAUUUUGUUCGUUGCUGUUAGCAACGUACCUCGCACUGUAGGAUCUUCACGAAAAACCCUGAACCGUGAUGUGAACCACAUGAGCAAUGGAUUAGUCUGAAUCAGUGACGAACCAAACGUGGGCAACCGUGCGUCCAGGGCCGGCUUCUAAGGUGUCUGACAGCGUCCGAGGAGAACCCAGGAAAAACACCAGACAGCACAGCCGGCACCGGGAUUCGACAGCAACGACCUGCAGUUGGUGUUAUGCCCGAGCUCAGGCUUCACCGUGAUGGAUCGUGUCCACCAGCUUGCCUUCGUGUACGCUACGUGUAUCUGUAUGCUACGGCUUCCGAUGAGAUGUUUCUUGAAUAUUUAUAAUUGAUUCCAUAACAUAAAAUUUUAUUGAUUUCUGUAAAUACGAC